rnacentral:rRNA from 1 species
AACGCUGGCGGCGUGCUUAACACAUGCAAGUCGAACGAGGUUUAGCCGAGCUUUCGGGCAAAGCGAAGACCUAGUGGCGAACGGGUGCGUAACACGUGAGGAACCUGCCCCGGACUUGGGAAUAACAGUCGGAAACGGCUGCUAAUACCGAAUACCUUCGUAGCGUCGCAUGGCGCAUCGAAGAAAGCUUUUGCGGUCUGGGAGGGCCUCGCGGCCUAUCAGCUAGUUGGCGAGGUAACGGCUCACCAAGGCAUCGACGGGUAGCUGGUCUGAGAGGAUGAUCAGCCACACUGGGACUGAGACACGGCCCAGACUCCUACGGGAGGCAGCAGUGGGGAAUAUUGCACAAUGGGCGAAAGCCUGAUGCAGCAACGCCGCGUGCGGGAAGAAGGCCUUAGGGUUGUAAACCGCUUUCAGCAGGGAAGAAAAUGACGGUACCUGCAGAAGAAGGUGCGGCCAACUACGUGCCAGCAGCCGCGGUGACACGUAGGCACCAAGCGUUGUCCGGAUUUAUUGGGCGUAAAGAGCUCGUAGGCGGUUCAGUAAGUCGGGUGUGAAAACUCUGGGCUCAACCCAGAGACGCCACCCGAUACUGCUGUGACUUGAGUACGGUAGGGGAGUGGGGGAAUUCCUGGUGUAGCGGUGAAAUGCGCAGAUAUCAGGAGGAACACCAGUGGCGAAGGCGCCACUCUGGGCCGUAACUGACGCUGAGGAGCGAAAGCGUGGGUAGCAAACAGGAUUAGAUACCCUGGUAGU